AACUUUUAACAACGGAUCUCUUGGUUCUCGCAUCGAUGAAGAACGUAGCAAAGUGCGAUAACUAAUGUGAAUUGCAUAUUCAGUGAAUCAUCGAGUCUUUGAACGCAACUUGCGCUCAUUGGUAUUCCAAUGAGCACGCCUGUUUCAGUA
rnacentral:rRNA from 1 species